rnacentral:rRNA from 1 species
CUACGGAGGGGACUAGCGUUGUUCGGAAUUACUGGGCGUAAAGAGUUCGUAGGCGGACUGAUAAGUAAGAGGUGAAAUCCCAGGGCUCAACCCUGGAACUGCCUUUUAAACUGUCAGUCUAGAGACCGAAAGAGGUUAGGGGAAUACCUAGUGUAGAGGUGAAAUUCGUAGAUAUUAGGUGGAACACCAGUGGCGAAGGCGCCUAACUGGUCCGGUACUGACGCUGAGGAACGAAAGCGUGGGGAGCAAACAGGAUUAGAUACCCUAGUAGUCC